CUUGAUUAUUAUAGCCAUUCUAUCAGGUGUAAGGUGAUAUCUUACUGUAGUUUUGAUUGGCAUUUCCCUGAUGAUAAGUGAUGUUGAGCAUCUUUUCAUGCACCUAUUGGCUAUCUGUAUGUCUUCUUUGGAGAAAUGUCUGUUCAUAGGACGGGAUGCUUUUUAAUAUGCUCUGUGGAAAGGAACCCAGAAAGGAGUUCAGGUGCCUGAACAUUCAUUGUCUCCACAUCUAUAGAUUUAAUCACAUGAAAACUCUUUCACUAGAUUUUUACUUUCUUGGAGCACAGUAAGUUGCUAAGGAAUUUCCCCCUUCUAUUGGACUUGGCUGAACAUUUCUUAAAGCCUAUAUGGCACUGAAGGAUCACCGAACCCAUGGCUACUUCUAAAACUGUACUUGUUCUAAUAUCCUCUGUCUGUAGGAAAACACGGUUUCUAAAGAAGCAAAAUUUUCCACUGCAGACUUCUCUUUGAGUGGUACUGUCCCCAGAACUAGCGUUCCAGCCUUUGAAGCAGAGGUUUGGGUGCAGGUGCUCAGAAGGUCUCUCACAGGACCAGCCUGAGAGCUGUGCUCUGGCCUCAGGGGCCUCACCUAGGAAACACCCACGCGAAAUAAAUGUGCAUUUGUCACCAACCCUCCAGACCACUCCCAUUUCUCAUAGAUGCUUCCACAACAAUCGCUAUUUUAGGUUUACUUUUUAAUGCCUGUUAGCCAACAAUGUGCAUUUUGUCCUCUACGACCAGAGUGCAGGGCUCUCCCACAGUGACCUGCUGGAUUCUUAGCUGUCCUCUGUCUCGAGAGCGCCAAUGGCUUUCUCACACUCUACUCGGGAUCUGGACUGCCUUGCUCCCUCUUGUCCUUUUGGAAAGCAUCCUUCAAGAUCCAGCCUUCUCUGAGCUCCCACGGAGGCAUCCUCACAGAAGUCUGGCUUCCGCUAGGAAUUAACCGGGAUCCAAGAAUAAAGAAAAGCACUGCAUUAAAUAAAGUAAUUUC
rnacentral:lncRNA from 1 species